UACGGGGGGGGCAAGCGUUGUUCGGAAUUACUGGGCGUAAAGGGCUCGUAGGUGGCCAACUAAGUCAGACGUGAAAUCCCUCGGCUUAACCGGGGAACUGCGUCUGAUACUGGAUGGCUUGAGUUCGGGAGAGGGAUGCGGAAUUCCAGGUGUAGCGGUGAAAUGCGUAGAUAUCUGGAGGAACACCGGUGGCGAAGGCGGCUCACUGGCCCGGUACUGACGCUGAGGUGCGAAAGCGUGGGGAGCAAACAGG
rnacentral:rRNA from 1 species